GGUUUGUUGGUCUAGGGGUAUGAUUCUCGCUUUGGGUGCGAGAGGUCCCGGAUUCGAAUCCCGGACAAGCCC
rnacentral:tRNA from 1 species